GACGAACGCUGGCGGCGUGCCUAAUACAUGCAAGUAGAACGCUGAAGCGAGGAGCUUCCUCUUCUUGGAUGAGUUGCGAACGGGUGAGUAACGCGUAGGUAACCUGCCUUGUAGCGGGGGAUAACUAUUGGAAACGAUAGCUAAUACCGCAUAACAAUGGAUGACACAUGUCAUUUAUUUGAAAGGGGCAAUUGCUCCACUACAAGAUGGACCUGCGUUGUAUUAGCUAGUAGGUGAGGUAAUGGCUCACCUAGGCGACGAUACAUAGCCGACCUGAGAGGGUGAUCGGCCACACUGGGACUGAGACACGGCCCAGACUCCUACGGGAGGCAGCAGUAGGGAAUCUUCGGCAAUGGGGGCAACCCUGACCGAGCAACGCCGCGUGAGUGAAGAAGGGUUUCGGAUCGUAAAGCUCUGUUGUAAGUCAAGAACGGGCGUGAGAGUGGAAAGUUCACACUGUGACGGUAGCUUACCAGAAAGGGACGGCUAACUACGUG
rnacentral:rRNA from 1 species